CCUACGGGAGGCAGCAGUCGAGAAUCAUUCACAAUGGGGGAAACCCUGAUGGUGCGACGCCGCGUGGGGGAAUGAAGGUCUUCGGAUUGUAAACCCCUGUCAUGUGGGAGCAAAUUAAAAAGAUAGUACCACAAGAGGAAGAGACGGCUAACUCGGUGCCAGCAGCCGCGGUAAUACAGAGGUCUCAAGCGUUGUUCGGAAUCACUGGGCGUAAAGCGUGCGUAGGCUGUUUCGUAAGUCGUGUGUGAAAGGCGCGGGCUCAACCCGCGGAAGGCACAGGAUACUGCGAGACUAGAGUAGUGGAGGGGGAACCGGAAUUCUCGGUGUAGCAGUGAAAUGCGUAGAUAUCGAGAGGAACACUCGUGGCGAAGGCGGGUUCCUGGACAUUAACUGACGCUGAGGCACGAAGGCCAGGGGAGCGAAAGGGAUUAGAUACCCCAGUAGUC
rnacentral:rRNA from 1 species